CAGCCGCCGCGGGAAUACGUAGGUGGCAAGCGUUGUCCGGAAUUAUUGGGCGUAAAGGGCUCGCAGGCGGUUUCUUAAGUCUGAUGUGAAAGCCCCCGGCUCAACCGGGGAGGGUCAUUGGAAACUGGGAAACUUGAGUGCAGAAGAGGAGAGUGGAAUUCCACGUGUAGCGGUGAAAUGCGUAGAGAUGUGGAGGAACACCAGUGGCGAAGGCGACUCUCUGGUCUGUAACUGACGCUGAGGAGCGAAAGCGUGGGGAGCGAACAGGAUUAGAGACCCCUGUAGUCCCUGUCUCUUAUAA
rnacentral:rRNA from 1 species